UAUUCCACUCAAUGAGGAUUCCCUUCAAAUCCAUUUGAUGAUUGUAUUCAAGUCCAUUCAGUGAUUGCUUUCGAUUCCAUUCGAUAUUGAUUCCCUUUGAUUCCAUUCGAUGAGGAUUCCAUUCGAUGUCAUUCUAGGAUUCCAUUCGAUUCCAUUUGAUGUUGAUUGCAUUUGAUUCCAUUUGAUUAUUCUAUUCGAUAAUUUUGAUGACGAUUCCAUUCGAUUCCAUUCAGUGAUUCCAGUUCAUUACAGUUGAUGAUGAUUCCUUUCGAUUCCAUUCGAUGAUUCCAAUUGAUUCCAAUCGAUGAUGAUUCCAUUCGAGUCCAUUCGAUGAUUCCAUUCGAUUCCAUUCAAUGAUGAUUCCAUUCGAGUCCAUUCAAUGGUGAUUCCAUUGGAUUCCAUUCGGUGAUGCCAUUCGAUUCCGUUCGAUGAAAGCAUUCGAUUCCAUUUGAUGAUUCCCUUCGAUUCCAUUCAAAGUUUAUUCCAUUCGAGUCCAUUUGAUAAUUCCAUUCGAUUCCAUUCUCCGAGGAUUCCACUGGAGUCCGUUCGAUGAUUCCAUUCAAUUCCAGUUGAUGAUGAUUCCAUUCGAGUCCAUUCAAUGAUUUCAUUGGAUUCCAUUUGAUGAUGACUCCUUCCGGUUCCAUUCCAUGAUGAUUCCAUUCGGUUCCAUUAGAUAGUGAUUCCAUUCAAGUCCAUUCGAUGAUUCCAUUCGAUUCCAUUCGAUGAUGAUUCCAUUCCGGUCCAUUCGAUGUUUCCUUUCGAUUAAACUUGAUGUUGAUUCCAUUUGAGUCCAUUUGAUUAUUCCCUUUGACUGCAUUCCAUGAUUCCUUUCGAUUCCAUUUG
rnacentral:lncRNA from 1 species